rnacentral:piRNA from 1 species
UCACCAAUAAAUAGCGUGGGUUCCCAGAG